rnacentral:rRNA from 1 species
AUGCGUCAUUCUGCAGUGGCGUUUGGUUGCAAUCUUGAAGCACGCUGCGUUGCAGACAUGGCAUUCCAGAGAACUUCACAAAGUGAAACCGUUGUUAGCCCAAUUCUUGCUAUGAAAUGUUUGCAUAUUGAUGACAAAAAAAUUUAUCCAUGUCAGGAUCAUUUUUUUUUUGCAAAUACGCAAAGCUUGUGUAUCAUUUCAUUGAUAGAAAGAAGAAAGAGUACAAUAAAAGAUACAACGCAUACCAUGAACGCAAGAAGGCAUAAGCAUGGUGUCCGGAGCAUAGAGAGACGGGGUGCUUAG